UACGUAGGUGGCAAGCGUUGUCCGGAUUUACUGGGCGUAAAGAGCGCGCAGGCGGUCGUUCAAGUCGCGUGUGAAAGCCCCCGGCUCAACUGGGGAGGGUCACGCGAUACUGAUCGACUCGAAGGCAGGAGAGGGUAGUGGAAUUCCCGGUGUAGUGGUGAAAUGCGCAGAUAUCGGGAGGAACACCAGUAGCGAAGGCGGCACUCUGGGCCGGAACUGACGCUGAGGAGCGAAAGCGUGGGGAGCGAACAGG
rnacentral:rRNA from 1 species